UACAGAGGGUGCAAGCGUUGUUCGGAAUUAUUGGGCGUAAAGGGAGUGUAGGCGGCCAUUUAAGUCUUCUGUGAAAUCUACGGGCUCAACCUGUAACGUGCAGAAGAUACUGAGUGGCUUGAGUGUCGGAGAGGAUAGUGGAAUUCCCGGUGUAGAGGUGAAAUUCGUAGAGAUCGGGAGGAACACCAGUGGCGAAGGCGACUGUCUGGCUGACAACUGACGCUGAGACUCGAAAGCAUGGGGAGCAAACAGG
rnacentral:rRNA from 1 species